CUGAUGUGUAAUGUAUAGCUAGGAAUAAUC
rnacentral:piRNA from 1 species